GAUGAACGCUGGCGGCGUGCCUAGUACAUGCAAGUCGAGCGAACAGACGAGGCGCUUGCUCCUCUGACGUUAGCGGCGGACGGGUGAGUAACACGUGGAUAACCUACCUAUCAGACUGGGAUAACUUCGGGAAACCGGAGCUAAUACCGGAUAAUAUAUUGAACCGCAUGGUUCAAUAGUGAAAGACGGUUUUGCUGUCACUUAUAGAUGGAUCCGCGCCGCAUUAGCUAGUUGGUACGGUAACGGCUUACCAAGGCAACGAUGCGUAGCCGACCUGAGAGGGGGAUCGGCCACACGGGAACUGAGACACGGACCAGACUCCUGAGGGAGGGAGCAGUAGGGAAUCUGACGCAAUGGGCGGAAGCCUGACAGAGCAACGCCGCGUGAGUUGUGAAAGUCUUCGGAUCGUAAAACUCUGUUAUUAGGGAAAAACAAAUGUGUAAGGAAAUGAGCACGUCUUGACGGUAACUAAUCAGAAAGCAACGGCUAACUACGUG
rnacentral:rRNA from 1 species